rnacentral:misc_RNA from 1 species
GAUGAAGAACGUAGUGUAAUGCGAUAAGUAAUGUGAAUUGCAGAAUUCAGUGAAUCAUCGAAUCUUUGAACGCACAUUGCGCCCCCUGGUAUUCCGGGGGGCAUGCCUGUCCGAGCGUCAUUACAACCCUCAAGCUCAGCUUGGUGUUGGGCCCCGCCGCCCCGGCGGGCCCUAAAGUCAGUGGCGGUGCCGUCCGGCUCCGAGCGUAGUAAUUCUUCUCGCUCUGGAGGUCCGGUCGUGUGCUCGCCAGCAACCCCCAAUUUUUUUCAGGUUGACCUCGGAUCAGGUAGGGAUACCCGCUGAACUUAAGCAUAUCAAUAAGCGGAGGA